GUGCUCGCUUCAGCAGCACAUAUACUAAAAUUGAAAUGCCCCUAUGCAAGGAUGGCAUACACAUUUGUGAAGCCGUCUAUAGUUUU
ensembl:snRNA RNU6-1232P RNA, U6 small nuclear 1232, pseudogene